rnacentral:lncRNA from 1 species
AUGUUGUUAAAUAUAACUAUACUCCUAUGUCCUAUAUAUAUGGUUUUUGAACUUUUCUAUUGCCUCAAAUCUAAGGCUUCUUCUUCCACAUUUUGUUUAAGGGAGAAAAAGAGAAUCAGAGGCAAUUCUUCCAUAGGAUUCAACCUCAUUAUUAUCUAAAGUAUAAAAAUCAUAACUUGUUAAUUAAUAUACCUUAGGAGGGUUGGGGUACAUGGCCAACAAAAGGAUGUUGUCUAAUAUGUUUGAUGUUUUGUCCCAUAUUAAUCUAUAUCUAUCUAUACUUACUUACUAUAUAUAAAGGUAAAACAUAGUGUAACUUCCACCAUUGUGUAAUUUCUAUUUCCUAUUUUGUCCUUCACAUUAUUUAAUUUUUACAAAAAGAUCAUAUAAUCAUAAAUAAACAUCACCAACACAUUAAUUAACUCUAUCUUUCACAUUAAAUUGAACAUUAUCAUAAAUACAUAAAAAUUAUAACAAUAUAUUCUAAUUCUAAAAAUAAAAUAUAUAAAAAAUGAAUACGUAGUACCAUGUAAUAUUGACCGACAGACACGAAGUGCCUGUACACACUAGUACUAUACAAAGGUAAAACAUAGUGUAACUAUUACCAUAGUGUAAUUUUUUCCUAUUUUACCCUUAACAUUAAUUAAUUUCUACCAUAAAAUCAUACAAUUGUUGCUAACCAACACAUUAACCACCCUUAUCACCUUAAAUAGAAAAUUAUAAUAGAAACAAAAAAUUAUAAUAUAAAGUAUACCAAACACAAAAAAUACAUUUAAUUCUCAAAAAUGAAAUAUAUAAAAAUUGAAUACUUAGUAGCACAUAAUUGGAACUUGCUUGCACACAGUGUUUGUCAACACACUAGUGAUAAUAAAAUAAAAACAAUAAUAAUAAAUAUAUAAAAAAUUUAAUCAACAUAAUAUUUUUUAUGAGAAAAAAAUAUAUAUAAUAAUUAAUAGUGUAAUAAUUUUUUAUAUUAUCACUACAUUAUCAACCAUUCAUUUUCGAUCAUAAUUGAUUUUUCAAAAAAUAUAAUUCAAAUAAAUAAUUAAAUAUAUGCUGAUUGUAUAUAUAUCUUUAUAGUCCCCAGCAACAUAAGAUUUGGGACGGCACAUGUCUAUUCGUGCCUAACUGCCAAACCGUUAACCCCUUCAUUUUUUCUCUCUCCUCUGAUGUUUUUUUGUUGCAUUAUUAGGAGAGAAAAAAGUAAAUGAAAACAGCACUUCGCUACCCAUGUUGUUAAAUAUAACUAUACUCCUAUGUCCUAUAUAUAUGGUUUUUGAACUUUUCUAUUGCCUCAAAUCUAAGGCUUCUUCUUCCACAUUUUGUUUAAGGGAGAAAAAGAGAAUCAGAGGCAAUUCUUCCAUAGGAUUCAACCUCAUUAUUAUCUAAAGUAUAAAAAUCAUAACUUGUUAAUUAAUAUACCUUAGGAGGGUUGGGGUACCGCAGUUCUUAGGUGCCUCUGAAUAUUUCAACCGUGGGACUCAAUCUAGUUGUUAGUUUAAUUCAAUAU